rnacentral:lncRNA from 1 species
UUGAGGUCUCCUGCGUUCAUAUGUGUGAUUACAUUCCUUGUAGGUGAUUGAAAUAGCUUUGUAUUCAUUGAAUUAAUUCCAUUUGUUCAUGACAUUUUUACUUCCUGGAUACUUUGAAUCUGAUUUUCAGAAUUAUGUUAGGAAUCUUUCAACCUAGUUGUAAAGAAUAUUGGUCAUGUUUUACUUACACACUUUGUAGUUUUGCUGUUAGAGAUGUGAUUGAUAGGAUCACUUUAGAAUUGUGCCUGUGAUGCCUCGUGAUACAUUUAUGCCACAUGUUUUUAUAGUUUGUUUGUUUGUUUGUUGUUGUUGUUUUAAUGACAGCCUCUAUAUAACUAUGGCUGGCCUGGAAAUUAUGGAAACUGGCCUGCCUCGCUGCCUCCCAGUGCUGGGAUUAAAGGCAGUUACCACCACACCUUGGCCAAAACAACUGUUAUUUAGUUUCAUUGAUUAUUUUUUGUUGUUUUACUUCCUGUUCCUUGCUGUUUCAUUUCUGUUCUCUACUUGUUCUUGUGUUCUAGGUACAGGUGUGAAACCUUUUUCUUUAUGUCAGCCUUUCUAACCACCACUUUCCCUAACUCCCCUUUAGUUCCAUUCCAUACAGUUUGGUCUAGAACUUCAUUUUCUCAUUUACCUAUGAUUUCCUCUUUAGGCUCAUGCAGGAUUGGAGGUUUUGUUGAUUAACUCAGUUCCUUGAAUAGAGCUUCUUCAACUCCGCUCCUGUGUUUUAUGCUUGCACAUUUCUUCUGUGACAUCAGUGAAUGAAUGUGGACACCUUUUGUUAUUGCCCCCACACACUCCUAAGCAGACUCUAUUCAUUUCUUUUUCCUGGUCAGUGUGUUUUCAUAUUCAUUCUGUCACCUCAAGUAAGGCUUUAAAUUUUAAAAAAAAUUUAAUUAUUUUUACCUUGCAUAUUUUAUUUGUGGGUAGAGAUAUUUUCUUCUAUUUACUUCAGGAGUUCACCCAUACUUUUGCAAUUUUUAAACGAUAACCCUUAUAAAUAUAUCUUUUCUAGUUAAUUUUAAAUUCUGUGCCAUUAGGCUUCAGUGUUCAUAUGAGUUGAUAUUUUUCUGUUUGUAUAUGUAGUGAUUUUGUAUUGUGUCUUGGAUAGUUCAGUGUUAUAUGUGAAGUUUUUCAUCUUGUUUGAGUUCCAUAGUGAAUACAUACAUGCACACACACACACACGCGCGCACACACACACACACACACACACACACACACACACCUACCUCCUUAGAGAGGGACAAGUCUAAUAGGCUCCAGGGUACAAACUCUGGAUUGAAACUGUAGUAUGGUUCCUUUUUCAGUGCUUGCUUUUGUCCUAUGGUCUGCAUCUGUUUGGUGCUCAGCAGAGGCUAGUUGGGACCUGCUUAUAGUUUUAGUUUAUUCUUGACUGUCUUUCAACCUUGGAUAAGCUGUUCAAGAGCAGCAGCUCCAGGACCACUGCCCUUCUCAAUCACACGUGUGCUUGGGGUGUACCUAGGAAUUUAGAUGCAGUUUAAUGGGUUUCCAGAUAUUGUUUAUCCCUGGUAUUUUCAGCUUGGCUGAGCUCUCUCUUUUCUUUCACCUAGAAGAUAAGGUUUUUCUUUUUCUUGCCCUGCUGCAUAAUAUCCCACAAUACACCCACAGACAUGGAAUACCAGUAUGUGCUGUGUUUUCUCCCAUUCUUUUGGUGUUCUGUACUGUAGGCAGGAAGAUAUUUAGUUAUUUGGAGUAGGCUAAAUUUUCAGAACCUCUUUUUCGCAAAUACACAUUUUUUUGGGGGGUAAGACCCUGCAUUUGCCAUGCCAUGCCAUGCUGUGCCAUGCCAUGCCAUGCUGUGCCAUGCCAUGCUGUGCCAUGCCAUGCUGUGCCAUGGGAAGAGCGAUGGGCUUCUUCUCACUGAGAUGAGUGUUGUACAAUAAGUACCUUCUCUGUGCCACCUUCCCUCUCUCUGCUUUAAAAUCAUUUCAACAUCUAAUGUCCUGGGGCUCAGGGAAUGGCUCAUUCAGUCAAAUACUCAUUUUGAAAACAAAAGAAUUUGAAGUUUAGUCCCCAGUAGUCAUGUGACAUGCCAGGUGUGUGUCAGCCCUGGGAAGGUAGAGACAGGGGAGUGGGGGUGGGGAGCCUAAUUCGUAAAUCAGACCAGUGAAAGACCAUCUCAAAAGAAAUGAAUGCCAUUCCUGAAGAUGACAAUGGGGUAGUUUCCCACUUUCCACAUGCAUACUUGCAUGCAAUACACACACACGCACACGCACACACAGGGCCCUCUCAGGUCUUAGUGUUCAUAAUAUCCCAGUAGAAAUGAAAUUUAUCCAAUGCUGAGAAUUUGGCAAAUGUUUAUAAGUCUUAACUGCAGUCUGUAUUGCUUGUUAAGCUUUGCUAAAUACAUAUUCUGUGGCCCAUUUCUGCAGAUUCUGAUUGAACCGUUUGUUGUAUAACAAAUGGAUUAAAUGCCCCACCUCAGGUCAGGUCAGUCCACGGCUGUGCUUGCUCUGAACAUGUGUGAUUGAGGAGGCAGUGGUCCUGCAGCUGCUGCAGCCGUGCUGUGUUCCUCUGACUCAGUUCCUCAGCAUCACCUCUGGCACAUCCUGCACUGCUUUAUCUUUCUUGACAUUGUCUCUUUGAAUCAUUGAACAUGGGAUGUUUUAAACUAGAAAAUCAGUUCAUC